AGUCCUGUGCCCGGGUCUUGGCUCUCACGGAACCCCGACAUAGCCGGCCAUCCCCACCCGGCUCUGACCGCACAGACAGGCAAUCUCGGCACAAAGAGGAGACAGCCCAAGGGAAGUGCUUUUGAAGAAAGGAUAGGACUGAAGAGGAGUUAACAAGGGAAUCUCAAGCAGGACAACGUGAACAAAGUUGCAACGGCCUCCUUCAGAGCUGGGGAAGAGGAUUCGUGCUGGUCAGUCACGAAAGGCAUGGCUGGAGUGCCCUUCUUGUUUCGGUUCUCCAAAUGCUCCCUCUUUAUAACACUCUCCAUAGUCCUCUUUACUAAGCCUUUCCUUAGAAUACUCUGCUUAUCGCCCUCUCUCCCCCUCAGUCCUCACUCUCCCGCCUCUCCAAACCGCUAAUCCCUGAGUUGCUAAUUUAGCCCUCUGGUGUCCCCUGCAGCGUCUCGGCGGCUUUCACGGUUCUAGUUCCCUCUCCUGGACUUCCCCUGUCAUUUGUCUCCAAGCCCCGCCCCCGCUCCCUCUGCUCCGGCUCCACCUUCCUACCCCAGAGCUCAUCCUCGGUCCCUCCCGCUCACCCG